rnacentral:rRNA from 1 species
UACGUAGGGUGCAAGCGUUGUCCGGAAUUAUUGGGCGUAAAGGGCUCGUAGGUGGCCAACUAAGUCAGACGUGAAAUCCCUCGGCUUAACCGGGGAACUGCGUCUGAUACUGGAUGGCUUGAGUUUGGGAGAGGGAUGCGGAAUUCCAGGUGUAGCGGUGAAAUGCGUAGAUAUCUGGAGGAACACCGGUGGCGAAGGCGGCAUCCUGGACCAACACUGACACUGAGGAGCGAAAGCCAGGGGAGCAAACGGG